rnacentral:lncRNA from 1 species
UCCAACUAUCAUUUACUCUUUAGAUUUCGUGGUUUCUAUAUUGCAGAUUAUACUGAUUCUUUCUAGUUAUACAAAGAAACAAAAGCAUACGUAUACAAAAUCACGCUAUAGUGUUUCAACCUAUGUCACAAUAAAUAUAUGCUUUUAUGAUAUUUCAAAUACAAUAAAACCUGAGAGACUAUUUACAUAUGAUAUAGUUGCCUUAGUUGGGGCCAUUCCAAAUGCCAAUCAACUAAGCUUAAUACACUGUAGUUGUGUGAAGUGUUUUUGAGCUUCCAGAUUUCCUGCUAUCGUGGGGUCAACAACAAUUUCUUUGCAAACCUUACUUGAAUCUGAUUUCUUGAAUGAUGUAAAUAGUUGAAAAAGAAGAUCCAUGACACAUCCAAGAAGUGGAAUAUGCGUCACUUGAUCCAUUAACUGAAAGAUGUAUAGAUGUCUUGAAAAUAUUUUCAGAUGCAGAAAGAAGAAAAG